rnacentral:lncRNA from 1 species
UAAAUAAACUACAUUUAACAACUCUAGUGUCCCAUUGGAUGCUCACAGAAAUUAUUUAUAGAUUGAAAUGUUAAACAUUUUUCCCAGCAGCGACAAGACACAGUUGUUCUUGUAGGGCUGAAUGUGCUUGGAAUUGUUGGAUCUCAAUUGCUCUUGUUCUAUCAUUGCUAAUUACUCCAUGAAUCUAAUCAUAUAUGUUUUCAUGAAUCACAGAGAAACUUGGACAGCCAAAACAAUUAGAGAAAGCUUCUAUGGCUUGAUGUUGAUGGUCGACACCAACAAGAAUGACAAGUUACAAAGAUGCUUAUUUGUGAUGGUGUAGCUAAUGGGCGAUGGAGCAACCAGCGAACUCGUUUUUAGAUUGAUUUAUUAUAUACUAAACAAUGUUGUGAACUUAGUUAAAUAUGGUGUCUUUAUUUUGUUAGCUGUGGUCACGUUCUUUUAAGCAGAAUUCUGGUCAUGUUACUUUGGUUUGAGAUAAUUUAAAUUAAUGAAUGUAUCAGUUAUUAUAUGUCAUCUACAUGGUGUGAAAAUAAUUUAAAAACUGCUAUUCAAAUUCCUCUCGUUGCGAUAGAAUUAUAGGCAACCAUUGAUUUUGGUUGCAAUAUGCAUUAUUGACACGAACUUUAUGCGUUGCAUUACCAUAUAAUC